AGUGAACGCUGGCGGUAGGCCUAACACAUGCAAGUCGAACGGCAGCACAGUACGGGUUUGCGCUUACGGGGGGCGUGUCGGGGGGGUGAGACGUACAUAUCCGACUCUACUUUUUCGGGGGAUAUCACGUAGGGACACCUACUCUUAUAUCGCAGACCCUCCAGGGGUGAGAGGGGGGGAUCUUCGCGCCGCGCGCGAAUGAAUGCGCCGAUGUUGGAUUAGCUAGUGGGCGGGGUAAUGGCCCACCAAGGCGACGAUCGGUAGCUGGUCUGAGAGGAUGAUCAGCCACACUGGAACUGAGACACGGUCCAGACUCCUACGGGAGGCAGCAGUGGGGAAUAUUGGACAAUGGGCGCAAGCCUGAUCCAGCCAUACCGCGUGGGUGAAGAAGGCCUUCGGGUUGUAAAGCCCUUUUGUUGGGAAAGAAAAGCUGUCGGUUAAUACGCCGCGGGGAUGACGGUACCCAAAGAAUAAGCACCGGCUAACUUCGUG
rnacentral:rRNA from 1 species